UUGACGGGGACCCGCACAAGCGGUGGAGGAUGUGGUUUAAUUCGACGCAACGCGAAGAACCUUACCUAGGCUUGACAUGCUGGUGAAAACCAUGGAAACAUGGUCCUCCCGUAAGGGACAUCAGUACAGGUGGUGCAUGGCUGUCGUCAGCUCGUGUCGUGAGAUGUUGGGUUAAGUCCCGCAACGAGCGCAACCCUUAUUCUUAGUUGCUAACGCGUGAAGGCGAGCACUCUAGACGAACUGCCGUUGACAAAACGGAGGAAGGUGGGAUGACGUCAAAUCAUCAUGCCCCUUAUGUUCUGGGCUACACACGUGCUACAAUGGCCGGUACAGACGGACGCAAAGCCGCGAGGUGGAGCAAAUCCUAAAAAGCCGGUCUCAGUUCGGAUUGCAGGCUGCAAUUCGCCUGCAUGAAGUCGGAAUCGCUAGUAAUCGCAGGUCAGCAUACUGCGGUCGAAUACGUUCCCGGGCCUU
rnacentral:rRNA from 1 species